UACGUAGGGUGCGAGCGUUGUCCGGAAUUAUUGGGCGUAAAGAGCUCGUAGGCGGUGUGUCACGUCGGCCGUGAAAACCUGCAGCUUAACUGUGGGCGUGCGGUCGAUACGGGCAUCACUGGAGUUCGGCAGGGGAGACUGGAAUUCCUGGUGUAGCGGUGAAAUGCGCAGAUAUCAGGAGGAACACCGGUGGCGAAGGCGGUUCUCUGGGCCUUACCUGACGCUGAGGAGCGAAAGCGUGGGGAGCGAACAGG
rnacentral:rRNA from 1 species